rnacentral:rRNA from 1 species
GACGAACGCUGGCGGCGUGCUUAACACAUGCAAGUCGAACGGAAAGGCCCCCUUGUGGGGUACUCGAGUGGCGAACGGGUGAGUAACACGUGAGUAACCUACCCUUGACUUUGAGAUAACUUCAGGAAACUGGGGCUAAUACCGGAUAGGAGCUCCUGCUGCAUGGUGGGGGUUGGAAAGUUUCGGCGGUUGGGGAUGGACUCGCGGCUUAUCAGCUUGUUGGUGGGGUAGUGGCUCACCAAGGCUUUGACGGGUAGCCGGCCUGAGAGGGUGACCGGCCACAUUGGGACUGAGAUACGGCCCAGACUCCUACGGGAGGCAGCAGUGGGGAAUAUUGCACAAUGGGCGGAAGCCUGAUGCAGCAACGCCGCGUGCGGGAUGACGGCCUUCGGGUUGUAAACCGCUUUCGCCUGUGACGAAGCGUGAGUGACGGUAAUGGGUAAAGAAGCACCGGCUAACUACGUG